UAGGGAAUCUUCCACAAUGGACGCAAGUCUGAUGGAGCAACGCCGCGUGAGUGAAGAAGGUUUUCGGACCGUAAAGCUCUGUUGUUGGUGAAGAAGGAUAGAGGUAGUAACUGGCCCUUUAUUUGACGGUAAUCAACCAGAAAGUCACGGCUAACUACGUGCCAGCAGCCGCGGUAAAUCGUAGGUGGCAAGCGUUGUCCGGAUUUAUUGGGCGUAAAGCGAGCGCAGGCGGAAGAAUAAGUCUGAUGUGAAAGCCCUCGGCUUAACCGAGGAAUCGCAUCGGAAACUGUUUUCUUGAGUGCAGAAGAGGAGAGUAGAACUCCAUGUGUAGCGGUGGAAUGCGUAGAUAUAUGGAAGAAUACCAGUGGCGAAGGCGGCUCUCUGGUCUGCAACUGACGCUGAGGCUCGAAAGCAUGGGUAGCGAACAGGAUUAGAUACCCUGGUAGUCCAUGCCGUAAACGAUGAGUGCUAAGUGUUGGGAGGCUUCCGCCUCUCAGUGCUGCAGCUAACGCAUUAAGCACUCCGCCUGGGGGAGUACGACCGCAA
rnacentral:rRNA from 1 species